rnacentral:rRNA from 1 species
CUACGGCUUUCGCCUUUAGAUUGGCCCAAGUGGGAUUAGCUAGUUGGUGAGGUAAUGGCUCACCAAGGCGACGAUCCCUAGCUGGUUUGAGAGGAUGAUCAGCCACACUGGGACUGAGACACGGCCCAGACUCCUACGGGAGGCAGCAGUGGGGAAUAUUGCACAAUGGGCGCAAGCCUGAUGCAGCCAUGCCGCGUGUGUGAAGAAGGCCUUCGGGUUGUAAAGCACUUUCAGUCAGGAGGAAAGGUUAGGGGUUAAUACCCGCGAGCUGUGACGUUACUGGCAGAAGAAGCACCGGCUAACUCCGUGCCAGCAGCCGCGGUAAUACGGAGGGUGCGAGCGUUAAUCGGAAUUACUGGGCGUAAAGCGUGCGCAGGCGGUUUAUUAAGCCAGAUGUGAAAGCCCCGGGCUCAACCUGGGAACUGCAUUUCGAACUGGCAAACUAGAGUGUGAUAGAGGGUGGUAGAAUUUCAGGUGUAGCGGUGAAAUGCGUAGAGAUCUGAAGGAAUACCGAUGGCGAAGGCAGCCACCUGGGUCAACACUGACGCUCAUGUACGAAAGCGUGGGGAGCAAACGGGAUUAGAUACCCCGGUAGUCCACGCCGUAAACGAUGUCUACUAGAAGCUCGGAGCCUCGGUUCUGUUUUUCAAAGCUAACGCAUUAAGUAGACCGCCUGGGGAGUACGGCCGCAAGGUUAAAACUCAAAUGAAUUGACGGGGGCCCGCACAAGCGGUGGAGCAUGUGGUUUAAUUCGAUGCAACGCGAAGAACCUUACCUACACUUGACAUACAGAGAACUUACCAGAGAUGGUUUGGUGCCUUCGGGAGCUCUGAUACAGGUGCUGCAUGGCUGUCGUCAGCUCGUGUUGUGAGAUGUUGGGUUAAGUCCCGCAACGAGCGCAACCCCUAUCCUUAGUUGCUAGCAGGUAAUGCUGAGAACUCUAAGGAGACUGCCGGUGAUAAACCGGAGGAAGGUGGGGACGACGUC